AGUUAAUUAGCAAUAAUAAGCAUUAUAUCUUGAAAAUAUAAAAAAGAAUAAAAAUUCUAUUAACUU
rnacentral:tRNA from 1 species